rnacentral:sRNA from 1 species
GUGUUUCGAGCCGUGGCACCGGCAUCGGCUGACACUGCUGCCUCCAGCUAGUUAUUUCGUCCUCUUCCGUUCUUCACCCCUACACCUUGGAGGUGAACUUCUCACCUGAGGGCUGUAAAGACUCGUUUGAAAAUGGAGAGCCAAGAACCAACGGAAUCUUCUCAGAAUGGCAAACAGUAUAUCAUUUCAGAGGAGUUAAUUUCAGAAGGAAAAUGGGUCAAGCUUGAAAAAACAACGUACAUGGAUCCUACUGGUAAAACUAGUGUUUGGGAUGGGACCUUCAGUGCUUUUCCCAGCACUGUCUUCUUCAGUCUUUAGGACUAACCUUAGGAGGCAGCAGAGAGAGCUAUGCCAAAAGAACUUGGGAAUCAGUGAAACGUACAACCAGGAAAGAGCAGACUGCGGAUGGUGUCGCGGUCAUCCCUGUGCUGCAGAGAACACUUCACUAUGAGUGUAUCGUUCUGGUGAAACAGUUCCGACCACCAAUGGGGGGCUACUGCAUAGAGUUCCCUGCAGGUCUCAUAGAUGAUGGUGAAACCCCAGAAGCAGCUGCUCUCCGGGAGCUUGAAGAAGAAACUGGCUACAAAGGGGACGUUGCCGAAUGUUCUCCAGCGGUCUGUAUGGACCCAGGCUUGUCAAACUGUACUAUACACAUUGUGACAGUCACCAUUAACGGAGAUGAUGCCGAAAACGCAAGGCCGAAGCCAAAGCCAGGGGAUGGAGAGUUUGUGGAAGUCAUUUCUUUACCCAAGAAUGACCUGCUGCAGAGACUCGAUGCUCUGGUAGCUGAAGAACAUCUCACAGUGGACGCCAGGGUCUAUUCCUACGCUCUAGCGCUGAAACAUGCAAAUGCAAAGCCAUUUGAAGUGCCCUUCUUGAAAUUUUAAGGCCAAAUAUGACACUGGCCAUUUUUGUAA